rnacentral:lncRNA from 1 species
UGUAGCUUGACAUUUGACAUCAGUGUAGCUACCGUGGUUCUAAGUGACAGGUCUGUAGCUAGUUACAGAGACCAGUGAACAUAGAACAAAGAUAAAAGUUAAGGAAAAAUGUCUACUUGAGGAAUAACCAUGAGUCUAUCAGAAGAAGAGUCAAACUUUCUAAGGUUUUACUUCCUGAAUUUGAAGGUUGCUUCCAAGGCUGUCAGGGUAUAUUUUGAUUCGGUUCAUCAACCAGCUGGACUUGCCAAUGAACUUGCAAAAAAUUCUGCAAAUUUGAAAGGACUUCGAUUUAUAACAAAACAACAACUGAACAUAUUAUA